UACGGGGGGAGCAAGCGUUGUUCGGAUUUACUGGGCGUAAAGGGCGCGUAGGCGGCCACUGCAAGUCAGUUGUGAAAUCUCCGGGCUUAACCCGGAAACUGCCAUUGAUACUAUGUUUCUUGAAUUUUCUGGAGGUAAGCGGAAUAUGUCAUGUAGCGGUGAAAUGCUUAGAUAUGACAUAGAACACCAAUUGCGAAGGCAGCUUGCUACAGGGAUAUUGACACUGAGGCACGAAAGCGUGGGGAUCAAACAGG
rnacentral:rRNA from 1 species